CACUUUUUCUGAGAGAUGAGCAAGGACAGUAUCUCAGGAAUAAGUCUCGGCUAACUACGUGCCAGCAGCCGCGGUAAAACGUAGGAGGCAAGCGUUAUCCGGAUUCACUGGGCGUAAAGCGCGUGCAGGCGGUUCGGUAAGUUGGGUAUGAAAUCUCCUGGCUUAACUAGGAGAGGUUAUCCAAUACUACCGGACUUGAGAGUGGUAGAGGAAGAUGGAAUUCCCGGUGUAGUGGUGAAAUGCGUAGAUAUCGGGAGGAACACCAGUGGCGAAAGCGAUCUUCUGGACCAUUUCUGACGCUCAGACGCGAAAGCUAGGGUAGUAAACGGGAUUAGAGACCCCGGUAAUCCUAGCCGUAAACGAUGUAAACUUGGCGUCGGUGGCUUAAACACCAUCGGUGCCGCAGCUAACGCGAUAAGUUUACCGCCUGGGGACUACGAUCGCAAGAUUAAAAACUCAAAAGGAAUU
rnacentral:rRNA from 1 species